rnacentral:rRNA from 1 species
GACGAACGCUGGCGGCGUGCCUAAUACAUGCAAGUCGAACGCACUCUCGUUUAGAUUGAAGGAGUUUGCUCCUGAUUGAUAAACAUUUGAGUGAGUGGCGGACGGGUGAGUAACACGUGGGUAACCUGCCCUAAAGUGGGGGAUAACAUUUGGAAACAGAUGCUAAUACCGCAUAAAACCUAACACCGCAUGGUGUAGGGUUGAAAGAUGGUUUCGGCUAUCACUUUAGGAUGGACCCGCGGUGCAUUAGUUAGUUGGUGAGGUAAAGGCUCACCAAGACCGUGAUGCGUAGCCGACCUGAGAGGGUAAUCGGCCACACUGGGACUGAGACACGGCCCAGACUCCUACGGGAGGCAGCAGUAGGGAAUCUUCCACAAUGGACGAAAGUCUGAUGGAGCAACGCCGCGUGAGUGAAGAAGGUUUUCGGAUCGUAAAACUCUGUUGUUGGAGAAGAAUGUAUCUGAUAGUAACUGAUCAGGUAGUGACGGUAUCCAACCAGAAAGCCACGGCUAACUACGUG